rnacentral:rRNA from 1 species
CCUACGGGUGGCAGCAGUGGGGGAUAUUGCACAAUGGGGGAAACCCUGAUGCAGCGACGCCGCGUGAAGGAUGGAGUAUUUCGGUAUGUAAACUUCUAUCAGCAGGGAAGAAACUGACGGUACCUUAGUAAGAAGCCCCGGCUAACUACGUGCCAGCAGCCGCGGUAAUACGUAGGGGGCAAGCGUUAUCCGGAAUUACUGGGUGUAAAGGGAGCGUAGACGGUGAUGUAAGUCUGGAGUGAAAGGCGGGGGCCCAACCCCCGGACUGCUCUGGAAACUAUGUGACUGGAGUGCAGGAGAGGUGAGCGGAAUUCCUAGUGUAGCGGUGAAAUGCGUAGAUAUUAGGAGGAACACCAGUGGCGAAGGCGGCUCACUGGACUGUAACUGACGUUGAGGCUCGAAAGCGUGGGGAGCAAACAGGAUUAGAUACCCGUGUAGUC